rnacentral:rRNA from 1 species
UUUAUUGGAGAGUUUGAUCCUGGCUCAGGAUGAACGCUGGCGGCGUGCCUAAUACAUGCAAGUCGAGCGAAUGGAUUGAGAGCUUGCUCUCAAGAAGUUAGCGGCGGACGGGUGAGUAACACGUGGGUAACCUGCCCAUAAGACUGGGAUAACUCCGGGAAACCGGGGCUAAUACCGGAUAAUAUUUUGAACUGCAUGGUUCGAAAUUGAAAGGCGGCUUCGGCUGUCACUUAUGGAUGGACCCGCGUCGCAUUAGCUAGUUGGUGGGGUAACGGCUCACCAAGGCAACGAUGCGUAGCCGACCUGAGAGGGUGAUCGGCCACACUGGGACUGAGACACGGCCCAGACUCCUACGGGAGGCAGCAGUAGGGAAUCUUCCGCAAUGGACGAAAGUCUGACGGAGCAACGCCGCGUGAGUGAUGAAGGCUUUCGGGUCGUAAAACUCUGUUGUUAGGGAAGAACAAGUGCUAGUUGAAUAAGCUGGCACCUUGACGGUACCUAACCAGAAAGCCACGGCUAACUACGUGCCAGCAGCCGCGGUAAUACGUAGGUGGCAAGCGUUAUCCGGAAUUAUUGGGCGUAAAGCGCGCGCAGGUGGUUUCUUAAGUCUGAUGUGAAAGCCCACGGCUCAACCGUGGAGGGUCAUUGGAAACUGGGAGACUUGAGUGCAGAAGAGGAAAGUGGAAUUCCAUGUGUAGCGGUGAAAUGCGUAGAGAUAUGGAGGAACACCAGUGGCGAAGGCGACUUUCUGGUCUGUAACUGACACUGAGGCGCGAAAGCGUGGGGAGCA